CUCAAUGGUAUGGCCAGCACGACAACAAUAAUGACAUAAACCAUGAUGAUGUGUUUGUUUAUUCUUGUUCAUUAAAUCCUUUGGAAUGAAAGAGUAUUUUGCAUAUGGUGGAUUUAAUGACUUCUUAAACAACCUAGAGUCAACGGCAUAAGUAACCUUAGGUUGUAAAGCUUUUUCCAAUUUGACCUUGAGAGUGUUUACCUCUUUUUGCCAAAUAUGACAAGCUUCACAAUACCUAACUUUACUACAUCCAUCAAUGUCAAUAUUUUUUGAAUUU
rnacentral:lncRNA from 1 species